ensembl:processed_transcript
CACUCACUGCUCUUUCUUUCUGCUUGGCAGGAAGAGUCUCCUCUGAACCAGACAACAGCUUGCACUUCUCUGCUUUUCCUCUGCUGGCAGGUGUUAGAAAUAAAGCCAUAAAUAAGUGGACUUAAAGACAACACUACAGAGAGAGAGAGAGGACAAAUGUCUUGCACAAGUGAGCAAGGGAUAUGAGGGGAAAAAGGAGAAGAAACCUGCAUUUUUAGGUAGCUUGAAUUGUUAGUAGGCUUUGCUGUUCAGUUUUUAUUAUUCCAUUUUUGUGGUUGAAGUGAAUAUUUGGAUGUUUUGAUUUCAAGCGUUGGUGUCUGAGUGAAUGUGUUGUUGAGGGGAAACCAAAAGUAACCGGGAGGAACGCAAGGCAGUCAUGGACAUUAUAACACCUCAGACUCGAGACUGGACGACUUGGAUUUGCACACCGGAGUUGGACCCCAUCCAGCCCACUGUCCACUGAUACAAAUGAGUACCCAUGUGCCAUCUGAGACAUGCUUCCUGGCUAUGGAAUCUCUCCUCUUCUUGAUUUCCAGCCUCACCUCCAAGCGUUCCAUUGCAGAGGCGAGAGCUCUGACAUGUGGUUCCCAGGCUCAGUUGAGACCCAGGCACUGAGCGAUUCUCGGGAAGGAAGGCCUCUCCUGCGGCAGCACCAACACAUUGCUGUGUGUCAGCAAGAGACAUUGGCCUUCAUUGACCUUCAAGAGCAAAGUGUUAAUGGUUUCCAAUCAUGCACAUCAGAAAACUGUAGUUCCUCUCUUUGCUCCAAGCCUCUCAGAUGCAAUGGAAGGAGUCCAUCUGAC